GUUGUAGAAAACAAACAUAAUGCUUUAGACAUUGAACACGUGUGGUACGUUUCAAAGGUUUUCCCCUUUGCCAAGCGCCUUCACAACUUAACCAAUCGCUAUGAAAUUUUGUAUACUCUAUGGAAUGGAGAAGUGUAUUAGCUACUUUUAUCGCGGUAAGCGAACAUAUCCCGGUCACGUGGACGAAGUCGCGGUAAAAACGAGUAACAUUAUAAAUGGGAAUUUAUAAAGAGAACCAACAAACAAAGUCAAAAACAACAAGAUGAAAAUGUCAAAUGUUUCGUAACAAAUCAGUCACUUUGCAUAAUUUAUGAAUAUCUCAAAAUAACUUCUUUCAGAAGUUAUAACUUUAAAAGUCCAACACAAAGCUAAAAGGUCAUUUAUUAUUUACGUCACAAGCCGGCGCGAGGGCUGUGCGAAGUGUGACCUGUGACAAAACGUGACAAACAAGGAUUCCUGACGUCACUUCGUCGCAAAUUUAGCCGAAACAAACGUCAUUAGAAGCUUGUCAACUUCACUUGUUACUGCAAUAUACUUGGAAUAAACUUUUGAACCAGUUCUCGUUAUUGGAAUUGGCUGACUUCUACAAAUAAAUAUCACUGAAUAAAUGUGAAA